GAUGAAGAACGCAGCGAAAUGCGAUACUUGGUGUGAAUUGCAGAAUCCCGUGAACCAUCGAGUCUUUGAACGCAAGUUGCGCCUCAAGCCAUUAGGUUGAGGGCACGUCUGCCUGGGCGUCACAUAUCGUUGCCUGAUGCCAGUUUCCUCGUGAUGGGUGACUGUGCAGGGCGAAUGAUGGCUUCCCGUGAGCAUUGUUGCCUCAUGGUUGGUUGAAAAUUGAGUCCUUGGUAGGGAGUGCCGUGAUAGAUGGUGGUUGAGUGACGAACGAGACCCAAUCAUGUGAGACCCCUACCGAAUUUGGCCUUCAUGACCCACAUGCGUCUUUGGAACGCUCAUGACGAGACCUCAGGUCAGGCGGGGCUACCCGCUGAGUUUAAGCAUAUCAAUAAGCGGAGGA
rnacentral:misc_RNA from 1 species